UCCCCAGGACCGCAAAAUCAAUUUUGAGCGAGAGAAGGGCCUGGUGGAAGUGAUCAUCCAGAACUUGUGUGAGGAGGACAAAGGGUCGUACACAGCUCAGCUCCAAGAUGGAAAAGCCAAAAACCAGAUCACCCUGGCCCUGGUGGACGACGAUUUUGACAAACUUCUGAGGAAGGCAGAUGCUAAGAAAAGAGACUGGAAGAGAAAACAGGGUCCCUACUUUGAGGAGUUCUUACAGUGGAAGGUCACGGAGGACUGCCAAGUGCUGCUGACGUGCAAGG